GGGAGGAGUCUGAAGGCCAGGGUGCGGCCGCUCCCGAGUAGGAAAAGGAAGAGAGUAAGUAAGGCCAGUCCCCUCCCGCCAGAUGACCAAGGUCAGUUUUGACACUAGAUCAAGGUCUUCUUCCUGAGACUGCUUCAAAGCUGAGAAGGGGGACUGGAAAGAUGGCUCAGAGGUUAAGAGCACUGGCUGCUCUUCCAGAGGUCCUGAGUUUAAUUCCCAGCAACCACAUGGUGGCUCACAACCAUCUAUAAUUAGAUCUGGUGUCCUCUUCUGGCCUGCAGGCAUAUAUACAGACAUUUCCCUGUUUAAUGCUUUGCUACAUACAGUACACAAGAAUCUGCAUACUUCAGCAUGUGGCCUGGGACUUCAGAUCCAUGUCUACAACACCUGGUGAGCCGGCCAGAAGAAAGAGAUCCAAGCAAAUUGAUAACCAAGAUCAACCAUUCUGAGCUGAAUACAUGGUUUAGCAGGACUCAGAAGAGCUACAGAAGACUAUGACUCACUUCCGCCUUUCCUGUCAUACAGCAGAAGCCCAACUAACAGAACUCCAACAUCUUAAAAGCCCUGUUAUGGUUUGAAUGUGAAAGUUUCCCCAUAGGCUCAAAUGUCUAACAUUUGGUGUUGAAGUUUAAGAAGGGUAACCUUGCUGAAGGAAGUGGGAAAUGGGGCUGGCCUUGAGGGUGCACACCCUAGCCCUAUCUCCUGUCCUCGCUCUGCUUCAUGACUGUGGACACAAUGUGGACUAGCUACUUCAUAGCCCUCAUUAAACGGUGAGCCCUGAAUCUCUUA
rnacentral:lncRNA from 1 species